AUAUCAUUUACUCAGAGAAAUCUGGAUAGACUUGCAAUUUCAUAUAGCAUUUUCUCUAUAUAAGAACUUAUAUAUUUGAUACAGUGUUGUCCUGGAAAUUGUCCGUCAUGUGACCAAGUCUGUGGUCGAACGUUAGGAUGUCGUAACCACAAGUGUCCUUCAGUCUGCCACAGAGGCAGCUGUUAUCCAUGCCCUGAAACUGUGGACGUGAAGUGCAAUUGUGGUAAAACUGUUCUCAAAGUACCCUGUGGGAGAGAGCGUACCACCAAACCCCCCAGGUGCAAAGAAUUCUGCAGGCAGCCGCCAACUUGCCAUCAUCCUUGUCGAGAGAAACACAGUUGCCAUUUUGGCCCUUGCCCUCCUUGCCACCAGAUCUGCAAGAAAGUUUUUGAAAAGUGCGGCCACUUGUGCCCUGCUUCUUGCCACGACGAAGCCCUUGUGAAGCAAACUGGCUUGGUGAGACAGAAGCUCGUAACAUACUAAAAGUUUAUUCUACUCUUCUUAGAAAAGAGUUUAAAAGCAAAUUUUAAAAUGUUUGUUGUUCUCUUGAUCCUUAUUGUGUCAGGGUUCUAAAAAACACCCCGAACGAAAUAAAUCUCCGAGGCUUGUGUUUCCUCAAAGUUCUAAUUUAUUAGAGAUGUC